UACGAAGGGGGCGAGCGUUGUUCGGAAUUACUGGGCGUAAAGGGCGCGUAGGCGGCGAGCCAAGUCAGAUGUGAAAGCCCCGGGCUCAACCUGGGAAUUGCAUUUGGGACUGGCUUGCUCGAGUUCGGGAGAGGAGAGUGGAAUUCCCAGUGUAGAGGUGAAAUUCGUAGAUAUUGGGAAGAACACCGGUGGCGAAGGCGGCUCUCUGGACCGAAACUGACGCUGAGGCGCGAAAGCGUGGGGAG
rnacentral:rRNA from 1 species